AGUGAACGCUGGCGGUAGGCCUAACACAUGCAAGUCGAACGGCAGCACAGUAAGAGCUUGCUCUUACGGGUGGCGAGUGGCGGACGGGUGAGGAAUACAUCGGAAUCUACUUUUUCGUGGGGGAUAACGUAGGGAAACUUACGCUAAUACCGCAUACGACCUACGGGUGAAAGCAGGGGAUCUUCGGACCUUGCGCGAUUGAAUGAGCCGAUGUCGGAUUAGCUAGUUGGCGGGGUAAAGGCCCACCAAGGCGACGAUCCGUAGCUGGUCUGAGAGGAUGGUCAGCCACACUGGAACUGAGGCACGGUCCAGACUCCUACGGGGGGCCACAGUGGGGAAUAUUGGGCAAUGGGGGCAAGCCUGAUCCAGCCAAACCGCGUGGGUGAAGAAGGCCUUCGGGUUGUAAAGCCCUUUUGUUGGGAAAGAAAAGCAGCAGGUUAAUACCCCGCUGUUCUGACGGUACCCAAAGAAUAAGCACCGGCUAACUUCGUG
rnacentral:rRNA from 1 species